AACGAACGCUGGCGGCAUGCCUAACACAUGCAAGUCGAACGAGACCUUCGGGUCUAGUGGCGCACGGGUGCGUAACGCGUGGGAACCUGCCCUUAGGUUCGGACUAACUCCCCGACAGGGGUGCUAAUACCGGAUAAUGUCUUCGGCCCAAAGAUUUAUCGCCUUUGGAUGGGCCCGCGUUGGAUUAGCUAGUUGGUAGGGUAAAAGCCUACCAAGGCGACGAUCCAUAGCUGGUCUGAGAGGAUGAUCAGCCACACUGGGACUGAGACACGGCCCAGACUCCUACGGGAGGCAGCAGUGGGGAAUAUUGGACAAUGGGCGAAAGCCUGAUCCAGCAAUGCCGCGUGAGUGAUGAAGGCCUUAGGGUUGUAAAGCUCUUUUACCCGGGAUGAUAAUGACAGUACCGGGAGAAUAAGCUCCGGCUAACUCCGUG
rnacentral:rRNA from 1 species